CAGCAGCCGCGGUAAUACGGAGGGUGCAAGCGUUAAUCGGAAUUACUGGGCGUAAAGCGUGCGCAGGCGGUUAUAUAAGACAGAUGUGAAAUCCCCGGGCUCAACCUGGGAACUGCAUUUGUGACUGUAUAGCUAGAGUACGGCAGAGGGGGAUGGAAUUCCGCGUGUAGCAGUGAAAUGCGUAGAUAUGCGGAGGAACACCGAUGGCGAAGGCAAUCCCCUGGGCCUGUACUGACGCUCAUGCACGAAAGCGUGGGGAGCAAACAGGAUUAGAUACCCGCGUAGUCCCUGUCUCUUAUAC
rnacentral:rRNA from 1 species